rnacentral:rRNA from 1 species
UACGGAAGGGGCUAGCGUUGUUCGGAAUUACUGGGCGUAAAGAGCGCGUAGGCGGCUUACCAAGUUGGGGGUGAAAUCCCGGAGCUCAACUCCGGAACUGCCUUCAAAACUGGUAGGCUCGAGUCCGGAAGAGGGGCGUGGAAUUCCCAGUGUAGAGGUGAAAUUCGUAGAUAUUGGGAAGAACACCGGUGGAGAAGGCGGGGCCCGGGUCCGGUAUUGACGUUGAGGCGCGAAAGCGUGGGGAGCAAACAGG